AUACGUAGGGGGCGAGCGUUGUCCGGAAUUAUUGGGCGUAAAGGGCGCGUAGGCGGCUUUGCAAGUCAGUAGUGGAAGUCCAUUUUUCAAGGAUGGAAGUGCUACAGAAACUGCGGAGCUUGAGUGCAGGAGAGGUUAUCGGAAUUACCGGUGUAGCGGUGAAAUGCGUAGAGAUCGGGAGGAACACCAGUGGCGAAGGCGGGUAACUGGACUGCAACUGACGCUGAGGCGCGAAAGUGUGGGGAGCAAACAGGAUUAGAUACCCUGGUAGUCCACACUGUAAACGAUGAAUGCUAGGUGUAGGAGGUAUCGACCCCUUCUGUGCCGCAGUAAACACAGUAAGCAUUCCGCCUGGGGAGUACGGUCGCAAGAUUAAAACUCAAAUGAAUUGGCGGGG
rnacentral:rRNA from 1 species